GUCUCUCACUGUAUCUCUCUCUUUCUGUCUCUCUCUCUGUCUCUGUCUCACUCUGUCUGCCUCUCUCUCUCUCCCUGUCUCUCUCUCCCUCUGUCUUUCUCUUCUGAUCUGAGGAGGAGGAGGACUGUGCCCAGGAAAACAUUCGCUUCUCAUUGGAGACACAGCAGAUGCUCCAUGCAGAUGCUGCUGUUGUCUCUGAUGCUGCAGCUGGUGUGGUGAUGGCGUCUCUGUGGGCAGAGCAGGUCUCAGGACCCAGUCCCUGUAACUACAGACUCAGGAGCCCCUGGUCCAUCCUGAGUAACUCUUACCUGCACAGAACUCUGGAGCAAAGAGCACGAGUCAGGGCAAUUAAUUCAGCCGGAUCUAGAGAGGAACAGAAGACAGGAUGGAAGUGAGCUGCUGAAAGUCUUAGGUGCCUGACAGAAGGUUGCCCUCCCACAUGUCUCUACCAGUGCCCAUACCAGUUUGAAUUUUGCUGCUCCAAGGAAUUAUUUUGAGGAAGGAGAAAGACACCUUCUUGGACAUUGAGACAUCUUGGCCAGCAUCUGGAACACACUUUUCCUGGAAUAUGACCUGCCCUGGAGAACAGAUGAUAAAGCCCAGCCCUUCCCCUCAAGCUACUAAUGAUUGACAGCAAUUGAAUAAAUGCCCUCUAAGACAGAAAUCUGCAAGCAAAAUCAAAUGGCAGGAUUUGGGCCUGGACUUCCUGAGAAUCUGAAACCUCUGCCAGAUGGAAGAAGUGAACUAUGCCGCCCACAAGCAGGAAGACCUGAGACCGGCUGGAAGCACAAGGGUGAUGCUGCUGCUCCCCGAGACCUCAUCACAGACCCAACAGAAGAGUGUCCUCAAGUUGAUCAGGCUCUGCUCCUUGAACAAUAUAAGACUCCUCAAACCCCUCCACCACCAGACACACGGCCUUUUAUUUAUUUUAAUAUUUUAUUUAUUUAUCUAUUUA